UCGGUGACAGGUGGUGCAUGGUUGUCGGUCAGCUCGUGUCGUGAGAUGUUGGGUUAAGUCCGCAACGAGCGCAACCCCUAUUGUUAGUUGCCAUCAUUCAGUUGGGCACUCUAGCGAGACUGCCGGUAAUAAACCGGAGGAAGGUGGGGAUGACGUCAAAUCAUCAUGCCCCUUAUGACCUGGGCUACACGCGUGCUACAAUGGUUGGUACAACGAGUUGCGAGUCGGUGACGGCGAGCUAAUCUCUUAAAGCCAAUCUCAGUUCGGAUUGUAGGCUGCAACUCGCCUACAUGAAGUCGGAAUCGCUAGUAAUCGCGGAUCAGCACGCCGCGGUGAAUACGUUUCCGGGCCUU
rnacentral:rRNA from 1 species